rnacentral:rRNA from 1 species
CANGGCGAAGCCUGGACGCAGCCAUGCCCGCGGUGGUAUGAUGAAGGUCUUAGGAUUGUAAAAUACUUUCACCGGUGAAGAUAAUGACUGUAGCCGGAGAAGAAGCCCCGGCUAACUUCGUGCCAGCAGCGGCGGUAAUACGACGUGCCANCAGCCGCGGUNAUACGA